UACAGAGGGGGCAAGCGUUGUUCGGAAUUACUGGGCGUAAAGGGCGCGUAGGCGGCCUUCUAAGUCGAACGUGAAAUCCCCGGGCUUAACCCGGGAACUGCGUCCGAUACUGGAAGGCUUGAAUCCGGGAGAGGGAUGCGGAAUUCCAGAUGUAGCGGUGAAAUGCGUAGAUAUUGGGAGGAACACCGGUGGCGAAGGCGGCCCCCUGGACCGGUACUGACGCUGAGGCGCGAAAGCGUGGGGAGCAAACGGG
rnacentral:rRNA from 1 species